GCUCAUCCCAGCCCAUCUCAGUCCAUCUCAGUCCAUCUCAGUCCAUCCCAGCCCAUACAAGUCCAUGCCAGCUCAUCCAAGCCCAUCUCAGUCCAUCCCAGCCCAUCUCAGUCCGUCCCAGCCCAUCUCGGUCCAUCCCAGCCCAUCUUGGUCCAUCCCAGCCCAUCUCAGUCCAUCCCAGCCCAUCCCAGUCCAUCCCAGCCCAUCUCAGUCCAUCCCAGCCCAUCUCAGUCCAGCCACUCUAUUCCAAUUCAAUCCAGUUCAGCCUUGCCCCUCUAAGGCUUGCUUACACAGGCCGCCCAAUUAUAAUAUUUUUCUGCUAGUUGGGCUUUUGACGAAUCACAUUAAAUAUUUUUCAAAGCUGAUCUGAUUGGUAAAAAUACCAAUUAGUGAUAGAAUUGAGCUGCCUGUCUAAACACAGCCUUACUCAACCCUGAGCUGAGCCCAGCUUCUGGCUCUGUCCCUCCUAUGUUUGGUCCAGUGUUGGAUAUUGCCAUUGUUGAAUACACUUUACACUUCCCCUUUCUCCUCUAACCUCCACCUCCUCUCCCUUCUUCUGUGAAAAAUCAAUGGUAAGUUAUUUAGCAGAUACAAGAAGGGGCUCAAUCUAGCACCAUGCUUCAGUGUGUGUGUGUGUGUGUGUGUGUGUGUGUGUGUUCCACUGCCACGGCCCUAGGUGACAGAAAUGUUUUAACGGGAAAAAGAACAAUGGAAAGGAAAAGAGAAAGUGUCCUUGUCUGUUCAGAGGGAGGCCAGACACGGGGAGAAGAAGGGACGAAAGAGAGGGAGGCCAGACACGGGGAGAAGAAGGGACGAAAGAGAGGGAGGCCAGACACGGGGAGAAGAAGGGACGAAAGAGAGGGAGGCCAGACACGGGGAGAAGAAGGGACACAUUGUUUUUUACAUUUAAUUUCAUCUUGAUUUAACUAGGGGAGACGUAGCUUUUAUUAUUCUUUCCAUUCAAACACUCCACAUUGAACAUGAUGAGGAAUAUUGUCUAUUGUAAAUCUCUAUUUCAUUCAAAGUACUGGUACCGGUAUUGACUUGGUACCGGUACCCCUUGUACAUAGCCACGUUAUUGUUAUUUUAUUGUGUAACUAUUUUUUCUUUCGUUUAUUUAGCACAUUUUUCUUACUUUUUUAAAACUCUGCAUUGUUAGUUAAUGGCUUGUAAAUAAGCAUUUCAUGGUAAGGUCUACACCUGUUGUAUUUGGCACGUGUGACAUAACAUUUUAUUUGAUUUUGAUUUGAUUUGAAGUACUAUUUUGUCCUGAAUUGACUGGGAUUCAAAUGAAAUGGAGAAAAACAGUGUGUGUGUUCUGUAGACACAUAGCAACCACUUCGAGAUAAAGACAGGGUAUGUAUAAUGUAGCCAUGGAGAGAAGGACAGCAAAGAGGGGGUGAAAACGGCAACAGAGUGAAGAUUGAAUGGGAAGAAGAGGAGGAGAAAACAGGGUCAGAGAUUCGAGGAGUCCGACACCCGUGUGUGUGUGUGUGUGUGUGUGUGUGUGUAGUGGUAUUGGGCAGCAGUGUGUGUGGGUGUUUCUGCUUCAGUGUGUGAAGAACUGAGCCUGCCUGCUCCCAGGACUAUCAGCAUGUGGCUGUCCUGAUCUAUCUAAUAAGGCAAAACUGUGUCCCCCCCAGUGCUCUCUUUAUAGAUCACUAUAUGCAACAUCCCAAAAUCCCAAGUGAUUAGAAUCAGAUGCAAACACACACACACACACACAUACACACAGGUGCACACACACACACACAAGUGAACACACACACACGGGUGCACGUCAUCAUUCUCCAUGUGUACCCUGUUUCCACCCUAAAUAAGGUCAGAAACAGACCAUAAACAAACUAAAUAACCAUGCUUUAAACACCAAAUGCAAAACAAGGCCUCUUCCUCUUGCUUUACUUGGGUUUUAAACAUGACCCAUUUCAUCCUCCUCCCUUUUAUCCUGCUGUUUAAAACACAAGUAUUUUAUGUUUGGGUUAUUGUUCCCAAUACAACACUGAUCUGUUGUGUCAAUAGUCCUUGACACUUUGUCCCAGAAUGGAGGGUGUGUGUGUUGUGUGUGUAUUUUUCAGGAGACAUUUGGUUGAGCAAGUGUGUGGGUGUGUUUCUGUGCUUUCAUGGCCAUUGGGAGUGUUUGACAGAGGCCAAUAUUAUUCAUCCCAGACAAUAUCCUAAAAUGGCUAAUUACCAUGACCAAUUAGCUGACUAAUUAAACAAUCUAAGCGGACAAUCUAUCAGCUGUCACAGAUCAAUAGAUGCUUUCCAUGCUCCAGAUAGAGAGAGAGAAAGAAAUAAAGAUAGGGGUGACAG
rnacentral:lncRNA from 1 species